UUGUCCCUUUUGUCUUGGGGUAUAGCACAUCGUCUUUUCAUGUCGAAAAUACGGGUUCAAAUCCCAUGAGGGAUAC